UGGGGAAUUUUGCACAAUGGGCGCAAGCCUGAUGCAGCCAUGCCGCGUGUAUGAAGAAGGCCUUCGGGUUGUAAAGUACUUUCAGCGGGGAGGAAGGCGAUAAGGUUAAUAACCUUGUCGAUUGACGUUACCCGCAGAAGAAGCACCGGCUAACUCCGUGCCAGCAGCCGCGGUAAUACGGAGGAUGCAAGCGUUAAUCGGAAUUACUGGGCGUAAAGCGCACGCAGGCGGUCUGUCAAGUCGGAUGUGAAAUCCCCGGGCUCAACCUGGGAACUGCAUUCGAAACUGGCAGGCUAGAGUCUUGUAGAGGGGGGUAGAAUUCCAGGUGUAGCGGUGAAAUGCGUAGAGAUCUGGAGGAAUACCGGUGGCGAAGGCGGCCCCCUGGACAAAGACUGACGCUCAGGUGCGAAAGCGUGGGGAGCAAACA
rnacentral:rRNA from 1 species